AACCGCCUGGCCAGCCUCCUCACUUCAGUUCUCUUUGUCUUUCUCCAUCUCUCCUCUCACUCUCUCAAUCUUGGUCUGACGGCGGCCGGUCUCGAUCCAUUGCCCUCGGUCCACCUCUAUCUCUCUCGCUCUCUCAAUCUCGGCUCGUUAGCAGCGGAUCACCAACCCACCGCCCUGGCCCACCUCUUGCUUCUCUCUCUAUCUCUCCUCUCUCGCUCUCUCAAUCUCGGCCCACCGGCGGCCAGUUAGCAGUGACCGACCCACCACCCUCGGCCUGCCUCUCGCUUAUCUCUCUAUCUCUGUCUCUCCUCUCUCAAUUUCUCAAUCUCAGUCAACCGCCAGCUGGUCACCGACCCAUCAUCCACUGGCUGUGCCUGUGUAGUUUGCAGCGGACCAGUGGCUUUGAAAGCGGUAGCUUUUCCCUCAUUUGUCGAAAACUGUAGUGAUUUUAGGCGGUCCUCCAGGUAACAAUGGUUUUCCUCCUUCAUGCUAACCGGCAGUAGACAACAUCAAUAGCAAUAGCAACCAUGCCAACAGCAGUCAGUGCAUUAGCACCAAAGAUGGUGAAUGCUUUAGUUUGUGCAAGUGAUUGGAUAAAGCACUAUGGCGAACAUCUCCCUAUCAAUUUUGUAUAGCUAAAGAUGCAGACACAGAUGGAGAUGGCUUCCUAAGCAUAGAAAAGAUUUUUUAUUGCAUUUACAAGUUGUUGGUUUGACAACAAAGAUUGGUUGACACCCAACGGGUUGUAAUUUUGACUACAAUAGACCUGGAUAAGUAUGAAUUUCAUAUUACAUUAUAUAAGAUUUGAAAUAAUAUCAUAAAAAUCACAAUGUUGGUUUUUUUUUUCUA